rnacentral:rRNA from 1 species
GGCUCAGAGUGAACGCUGGCGGUAGGCCUAACACAUGCAAGUCGAACGGCAGCACAGUAAGAGCUUGCUCUUAUGGGUGGCGAGUGGCGGACGGGUGAGGAAUACAUCGGAAUCUACCUUUUCGUGGGGGAUAACGUAGGGAAACUUACGCUAAUACCGCAUACGACCUUCGGGUGAAAGCAGGGGACCUUCGGGCCUUGCGCGGAUAGAUGAGCCGAUGUCGGAUUAGCUAGUUGGCGGGGUAAAGGCCCACCAAGGCGACGAUCCGUAGCUGGUCUGAGAGGAUGAUCAGCCACACUGGAACUGAGACACGGUCCAGACUCCUACGGGAGGCAGCAGUGGGGAAUAUUGGACAAUGGGCGCAAGCCUGAUCCAGCCAUACCGCGUGGGUGAAGAAGGCCUUCGGGUUGUAAAGCCCUUUUGUUGGGAAAGAAAAGCAGUCGGC